CCAAAACCAAAAAAAAAC
rnacentral:sRNA from 1 species